UACGAAGGGGGCUAGCGUUGCUCGGAAUGACUGGGCGUAAAGGGCGCGUAGGCGGAUGGCACAGUCAGAUGUGAAAUUCCCGGGCUUAACCUGGGGGCUGCAUUUGAUACGUGUGAUCUAGAGUGAGGAAGAGGGUCGUGGAAUUCCCAGUGUAGAGGUGAAAUUCGUAGAUAUUGGGAAGAACACCGGUGGCGAAGGCGGCGACCUGGUCCGAUACUGACGCUGAGGCGCGAAAGCGGGGGGAGCAAACAGG
rnacentral:rRNA from 1 species